UACGAAGGGGGCUAGCGUUGUUCGGAAUUACUGGGCGUAAAGCGUGCGCAGGCGGCUUUGCAAGACAGAUGUGAAAUCCCCGGGCUCAACCUGGGAACUGCAUUUGUGACUGUAGAGCUGGAGUACGGCAGAAGGGGAUGGAAUUCCGCGUGUAGCAGUGAAAUGCGUAGAUAUGCGGAGGAACACCGAUGGCGAAGGCAAUCCCCUGGGCCUGCACUGACGCUCAUGCACGAAAGCGUGGGGAGCAAACAGG
rnacentral:rRNA from 1 species